rnacentral:rRNA from 1 species
AACGAACGCUGGCGGCAUGCCUAACACAUGCAAGUCGAACGAGACCUUCGGGUCUAGUGGCGCACGGGUGCGUAACGCGUGGGAAUCUGCCCUUGGGUUCGGAAUAACAGUUAGAAAUGACUGCUAAUACCGAAUGAUGUCUUCGGACCAAAAAUUUAUCGCCCAGGGAUGAGCCCGCGUCGGAUUAGCUAGUUGGUGAGGUAAAGGCUCACCAAGGCGACGAUCCGUAGCUGGUCUGAGAGGAUGAUCAGCCACACUGGGACUGAGACACGGCCCAGACUCCUACGGGAGGCAGCAGUGGGGAAUAUUGGACAAUGGGCGAAAGCCUGAUCCAGCAAUGCCGCGUGAGUGAUGAAGGCCUUAGGGUUGUAAAGCUCUUUUACCCGGGAUGAUAAUGACAGUACCGGGAGAAUAAGCCCCGGCUAACUCCGUGC